rnacentral:lncRNA from 1 species
GAAUAAGUUGAAAAUUUUGUGAUUUUCGUACCGGUCUCGUGUAAAGAUAUUGACAAUUUCAAUUUUCGUCCCGGUCUCAUGUAAACAGGGCCUAAACCUUUUUUUCAAAAAACUGGCAUCGUUUGUCUUGAGGUUAGGGGGUACAAAUGGUACCCAUAGCUUAGAGGGUGCAAAUGGUACCCGUAAGAAGACUUGGUGGAAAUCAUGUUGGUCGUUUGGAUCGGCGAGAAUAAGACAAUUAUGGCGGUUAUUCCGGCUCAAUAUCUUCGGGGAUAUUCCUUUUCAGGGCGGUUGCAUGCGGAUAAUAUGGUCCGUCGCGUGCGCAAAAUAGUUAGGGAGUUAGACAGUUUAGAAGCGUCCAAACUGCGCAAUAUACAACACUCACAUGAAAC